rnacentral:lncRNA from 1 species
CAAUGCCUAUAGCAUGAUACCAAAGUAGUAAAUAUAAUGGAAGAGGAUCUGAAACAGUAACUGGAAAAAAGUAGGUGAGUAAAUCAUACCUGUUCAAUUCGUUUGAUAUGGAAGAAAUGGUGAGGAACUAGAGUUGCGAUAAGAAGACAAGAAAUUAAUUACUACAAGCAUCUCUUAUAUAACCAAGUAGAUGAACUUUCCUCAAAUAUACUGAAAAUCCAACAUCAAGUUUUGUACAACACCAUGAUACUAGAGCUUACAGUACAAAAAACCCAGCGACAUGCCGAAAUCAAAAUGCUAACAACCUUGAACCUGAGUAGAGCUCGACGACACCGACUGUUAGAGCUGGAGAAUUUGGCCAAUCGUAGCUUCCAGG